rnacentral:rRNA from 1 species
AAGUCGUAACAAGGUUUCCGUAGGUGAACCUGCGGAAGGAUCAUUAUUGAAAUAAAGGCUGUUGCUGGUCCUCACUGAGGACAUGUGCACGCUUGUUGUUAUUUUUCCAACUGUGCACAUAUUGUAGACCUGGAAGUCUUUUAUUGUUGGGAUAGAUUGAGGACUGCCAAUGCGGCUUUGCCUUGUAUUUCCAGGUCUAUGUUGUAAUACAAACGAAUGAAUGUCGAGUACUGGAAAAUAUGAAAUAAUAAUACAACUUUCAGCAACGGAUCUCUUGGCUCUCGCAUCGAUGAAGAACGCAGCGAAAUGCGAUAAGUAAUGUGAAUUGCAGAAUUCAGUGAAUCAUCGAAUCUUUGAACGCAUCUUGCGCUCCUUGGUAUUCCGAGGAGCAUGCCUGUUUGAGUGUCAUUAAAAGUUCUCAACCACUCUGGUUCUUUCUGGUGUGGCUUGGAUUUGAGGGGUUUUGCAGGCUUUUGAACUGAAGUCGGCUCCCUUGAAAAGGAUUAGUGAUGUCUGAGCAGAAGCCACCAUGGGUGUGAUAAUUAUCUAUGCCUUGGUGAAUGCCUGACCACAAAAGCUGUUGUGUUUNGACAAAUUUGACCUCAAAUCAGGUAGGACUACCCGCUGAACUUAAGCAUAUCAAUAAGCGGAGGAAAAGAAACUAACGAGGAUUCCCCUAGUAACUGCGAGUGAAGCGGGAAAAGCUCAAAUUUGAAAUCUGGCGGUCUUUGUGGCUGUCCGAGUUGUAAUCUAGAGAAGUGUUUACCUGUGCUGGACCGUGUAAAAGUCUCCUGGAAUGGAGCAUCAUAGAGGGUGAGAAUCCCGUCUUUGACAUGGACUGCCUGUACGUCAAGGUGCGCUCUCGAAGAGUCGAGUUGUUUGGGAAUGCAGCUCAAAAUGGGUGGUAAAUGCCAUCUAAAGCUAAAUAUUGGCGAGAGACCGAUAGCGAACAAGUACCGUGAGGGAAAGAUGAAAAGAACUUUGGAAAGAGAGUUAAACAGUACGUGAAAUUGCUGAAAGGGAAACGCUUGAAGUCAGUCGCGUUUGCUGGAAAUCAGCCUUGCUUUUGCUUGGUGUACUUUCCUGUCGACGGGUCAGCAUCAGUUUUGACCAUUGGAUAAGGGCGAUGGGAAUGUGGCAUCCUUGGAUGUGUUAUAGCCCAUUGUCGCAUACGGUGGUUGGGAUUGAGGAACUCAGCACGCCCGCAAGGGCAGGGUCUUCUGACCACGACUCGUGCUUAGGAUGCUGGCAUAAUGGCUUUAAUCGACC